rnacentral:rRNA from 1 species
AACUCUCAACAAUGCCGUACGAAUCUUGGCUCUCUAGUCAAUGAAGAGCGCAGCACAUUGCGUUGCUUAUUGUGAGCUGCAAGUGGGGUAUCGAACAUUUCAGCGCAGAAUGCGCUGGAGGUUCUGGCCAAGAGCAUGUCUGCCUCAGCGUCA